UGUGUGUCCCUCCUGAAGCUUACACUCGGCUGAAGAGGACCAAUAUCCCCAAUAGAGGAGGACCAGUCUUCAGGCAAGGGUAUAUGAGUAGCCGAGCUUCCCUGCCAGAACCUCCAAACAAGCUUUCAAUAGAGUGUCAUUGCACAGCAAUUUCAUCUGGUCUAGUUUUUAGUACUCUUUCUGGAUUACUGGCUGAGGAUUAAGAAACAUGGACCAGAUGAAGUCAAUUAAGU
rnacentral:sRNA from 1 species